AGGCCUGUGUACACGGAUGAUCCUAUUGAUGUGUUGAACAUUAAGUUGAAGAGGAUGAAGAAAUUUUUUAAAGGGUGGGGCUCAAAUAACUUUGGCAAAUGUAGGAUUAAGAAGAAUCUACUUAGAUUGGAGCUUCAGGAGUUGGAGCUGUUAGAAGAACAAUAUGAUCUGUGCGGGGAGGCGUAUACGAGGAAGUUAAAUAUCCUGGUGGAACUUAAUAGUAUAUACCUUGAAGAGGAAUCAUCCUGGCAUCAAAAAUCUACCAAAAGGUGGCUAUUGAAAGGUGAUAAUAACACCGAUUUCUUCCAUAAAGUGGCCAAUGGGAGACGCAGGAAAAAUAUGAUGCGUUCUCUUGAAUGUGGUUCUGUUACUAUUGAGGGGACCAAGAAUUUACUAGCCCAUGCUACUGACUUUUAUAAGGAAUUGUUUGGACCUGCACCUGGUAAUAUGUGUAGUGUUGACGCAUCCUUGUGGUCUAGUGAGGAGAAUAUA
rnacentral:rRNA from 1 species